GAGAUCGGGAUAACACCUGGAAACAGAUGCUAAUACCGGAUAACAACAGAUGAUGCCUAUCAACUGUUUAAAAGAUGGUUCUGCUAUCACUCUUGGAUGGACCUGCGGUGCAUUAGCUAGUUGGUAGGGUAACGGCCUACCAAGGCGAUGAUGCAUGGCCGAGUUGAGAGACUGAUCGGCCACAUUGGGACUGAGACACGGCCCAAACUCCUACGGGAGGCAGCAGGA
rnacentral:rRNA from 1 species